GUGUGUGUCUUUCCUAGCAGGCAAAGAAACAGACAGCACAAACUAAGCUUGACCUUGUUGGAAAUACAGUUUAUCCACAGAGUGAAUGUUGGCUAAAAUGUAAUCUUAUGACAUCAGGAAUGUUCAAAGUUUACACAGGAGGGCCACUGUCAUAAGGAUGCCUGGAAGAGUGAAGAAAGGCCUGAUUGAUCACAAGGUCCUAUCAAAUGUCAAAGCUGGCCCUGGCUGACCUCCCAUCUAUUCAGAGCUGCUUUGAUUUAAUCUCCAAACUGGCUGCUUCUCCAGGCUGUGAGUUCUAUCUGCAACCCAUGUGUCAGCAUUGAGAUAUGACCUGCUUCACGCUCCAUUCAUCUCAUUUGAAGGACGGAAAUUAAACUCGAGGGUCGAAGAGGGGAACUGCUCAAAAUACACACACACAUUAACUGAAGCCUUUUGUAGAAGAGAAUUGAAAAUUCCAAUAAGGCAAAGGUGAUGGAAGUGUCUUCAUGAGACCCUUGGGUAACAUAAAUUGGCAAAGAAUUGGAUGACCUGGGUUCUAAGAUCUGACCUUAAAACUAGCC
rnacentral:lncRNA from 1 species